rnacentral:rRNA from 1 species
GACAGAGGGGGCAAGCGUUGCUCGGAAUUACUGGGCGUAAAGGGCUGGUAGGCGGCCAACUAAGUCGGAUGUGAAAUCCCCAGGCUUAACCUGGGAACUGCAUCCGAUACUGGUCGGCUUGAAUCCGGGAGAGGGAUGCAGAAUUCCAGGUGUAGCGGUGAAAUGCGUAGAUAUCUGGAGGAAUACCGGUGGCGAAGGCGGCAUCCUGGACCGGCAUUGACGCUGAACAGCGAAAGCUAGGGGAGCAAACGGG